rnacentral:rRNA from 1 species
GCUAUAAUUGUCAGCUAAGUGGCGCACGGGUGAGUAAUGUAUAGAUAACCUGCCCUUAAGAAAGGAAUAACAGUUGGAAACGACUGCUAAUGCCCUAUAUGCCUUUAAUACAUAAGUAUGCAAGGGAAACGCUUUAGUGCUUAAGGAUGGGUCUGUAUGGUAUCAGCUUGUUGGUGAGGUAAUGGCUCACCAAGGCUAUGACGCCUAACUGGUUUGAGAGGAUGAUCAGUCACACUGGAACUGAGACACGGUCCAGACUCCUACGGGAGGCAGCAGUGGGGAAUAUUGCACAAUGGACGAAAGUCUGAUGCAGCAACGCCGCGUGGAGGAUGACACAUUUCGGUGCGUAAACUCCUUUUAUAUAGGAAGAUAAUGACGGUACUAUAUGAAUAAGCACCGGCUAACUCCGUGCCAGCAGCCGCGGUAAUACGGAGGGUGCAAGCGUUACUCGGAAUCACUGGGCGUAAAGAGCGUGUAGGCGGGUAUAUAAGUCAGAAGUGAAAUCCAAUAGCUCAACUAUUGAACUGCUUUUGAAACUGCAUACCUAGAAUGUGGGAGAGGUAGAUGGAAUUUCUGGUGUAGGGGUAAAAUCCGUAGAGA